rnacentral:lncRNA from 1 species
CCUAGCAAAGGUCAAGGCACAGCCAUCCACCACCACCUGCCCUCCUCCACUCUGGGAGCUUCCAUUCGGGUUCUGAAAUCUAAGCCUUAUAAGAAGAAACAUCAGAGGGAAUCUGGGGGACUCCUUUAGGAGGUACCAGUUCUAGGGAUUUUGCUGGGCUUUUCAAAGGGCCUUCCAUUGGAUAUUCCCACCUAAAAUGCUUCCGGCUUGCCGUACCUCAGAACACAGUGCUUGGCACAUAGCAGGUCAGACAAAAACCAAAGAAAGCUAAACUGGGACCUGGCCUCUUGAUUUUAGAAUAAGGCAGGAAUCGGGUGAAAUCAAGCGACUACGGUAAGUUUUAAGGUACCAGAUGCAGUCUCCACUGGCGUCACGGCAACAUUGGAACCAGGACUGUGGGAAGGAUGCUGCAGCCAGGCUGGCAGGAAACCCCAAGAAGCCAAGGUGCCUGGAGCUCAAACCCAAGGUCCUCUAUAAUUUGGAUCCAACAUGGAUGAUUUUACAUAAGAAGAUGUGCAGAGAGCAACUAUCCUGA